rnacentral:misc_RNA from 1 species
UCGUAACAAGGUCUCCGUAGGUGAACCUGCGGAGGGAUCAUUACUGAGUGAGGGCCUCUGGCCCGACCUCCAACCCCAUGUUAUCUGACACUGUUGCCUCCGGGGCGACCCGGCCUGCCUUCGGGCGUUUCGGGGCCCCGGGUGGACCAUUCAACUCUGCAUCUUUGCGUCUGAGUAAAUGAUUGAAUCAAUCAAAACUUUCAACAACGGAUCUCUUGGUUCUGGCAUCGAUGAAGAACGCAGCGAAAUGCGAUAAGUAAUGUGAAUUGCAGAAUUCAGUGAAUCAUCGAAUCUUUGAACGCACAUUGCGCCCCUUGGUAUUCCGAGGGGCAUGCCUGUUCGAGCGUCAUUACACCACUCAAGCCUCGCUUGGUAUUGGGCGCCGCGGUCCGCCGCGCGCCUCAAUGUUUCCGGCUGAGCUCUCUGUCUCUAAGCGUUGUGGUUAAAACUAUCCGCUUGCGAGAUCGGGGGGCGUCUGGCCGUUAAACCAUUACUCAAAGGUUGACCUCGGAUCAGGUAGGGAUACCCGCUGAACUUAAGCAUAUCAAUAA